UACGUAGGGGGCAAGCGUUGUCCGGAAUCAUUGGGCGUAAAGCGCGUGUAGGCGGCCCGGUAAGUCCGCUGUGAAAGUCGGGGGCUCAACCCUCGAAUGCCGGUGGAUACUGUCGGGCUAGAGUGCGGGAGAGGCGAGUGGAAUUCCCAGUGUAGAGGUGAAAUUCGUAGAUAUUGGGAAGAACACCGGUGGCGAAGGCGGCUCACUGGCUCAUUACUGACGCUCAUGCGCGACAGCGUGGGGAUCAAACAGG
rnacentral:rRNA from 1 species